rnacentral:rRNA from 1 species
CUAGAAAAUUGCACAAUGGGCGCAAGCCUGAUGCAGCGACGCCGCGUGCGGGAUGAAGUCUUUCGGGAUGUAAACCGCUGACAGGGGGGACGAUGGCAUUUGCAGCUAAUAUCUGCAGAUGUUGACGGUACCCCCAAAGAAGCACCGGCUAACUACGUGCCAGCAGCCGCGGUAAUACGUAGGGUGCAAGCGUUGCCCGGAUUCACUGGGCGUAAAGGGUGCGUAGGCGGAUCCGCAAGUCGAUUGUGAAAUCUCCGGGCUCAACCCGGAAACUGCGGUCGAUACUGCAGAUCUAGAGGACAGAAGAGGAGAGCGGAACUCCUGGUGUAGCGGUAAAAUGCGUGGAUAUCAGGAGGAACGCCUAUGGCGAAAGCAGCUCUCUGGUAUGUUCCUGACGCUGAAGCACGAAAGCUAAGGUAGCAAACCGGAUUAGAUACCCGGGUAGUCUUAGCCGUAAACAAUGUACACUAGGUAUUGGCAAUGGUCAGUGCCGCAGCUAACGCGAUAAGUGUACCGCCUGGGACUACGCCG